UGCCGGGUAGUGUAGUGGUAGCACAACGGCCUUUGGAGCCGUACGCCCAGGUUCGAACCCUGGCCCGGCAGCCA
rnacentral:tRNA from 1 species